CUGGGAAUACUAACAGUUUCAGUUGUUCUAAUUUUCUGUGACUAACAUUUUUUUGCUGCCUUAGUCAGUUAUCUAACUUUACUAACCCUGUUUUGCUGAGUUAUCUCAGUUCACUAACAUCUCUUUGUUGUUUCUAACGUUCUUUUUACUGGUGUUGCUUUUGUAGGUUCUACUAAGUUUUAGUACCAGUUCACACAGAGUUUCAUUUUUUUUUGCUGCAGCUGUCCUACAGUUGUAGUUUCUAUCUUUUAUUAAUAUGUUAUUUAUAAUUGUACAUUAAUUUAAAUUUAAAUGUUACUUGAUUGUAGACUUUCCUUGUUUCAGGACAUUGUAGCAAAGUUAUUAUCAUUUUCACAGCAGAGGCCAAGGGCUUUGUGCAGCUAAACUGGAACUGGGACUGUUUCUUCUGUUACUCUGCGCCAGCCAGCUUCUACUAGCAUAAGUGUUUCUUAUGAGGUGAAUGUCUCAUCAGGAACUUCAUGAACAUCCAUGCCUCAUUUCUUAAUAGAGUCCCUUCCAAACCAAAGCAAUAAUAAUGACAGUAGUGUCCCUGAGACCAACUGAUAAGAUGCCUAGAGGUGCAAAAGCAAUUCUUGAGAACAUCAAAAAGGAAUAAAGAGAACAUGUGAAGAAGGAACCAUAUCACCACAUGCAGAGACAAUAGCGUUGUCAACUGUUUCAGAAUCAUUGUGAAUAUAGAACUGGAAAUCAUUGAAGAUGUUGGUGUUGGAGACAUUCAAGAAGCUUAUCCAGGUUAUUAGAAGAUCUCUUUUACUUUUUGUUAUCUUCAUAUUGUUCUAAGAGAUGACAUGAAUUUUAUCACUUGAAUGUGUUUUUAUUGUUUUUCUUUUGAAUGACAUUUAUGGUUACCUUUCCCUUCCUUUUAAGAUAAACUUGCUCAGAUCACUUAAGCCACUCUGAAUUUGUUGAAUUGUUGAAUUUGUUGAAUUGU